UACGGGGGGGGCAAGCGUUGUUCGGAAUUACUGGGCGUAAAGGGCUCGUAGGCGGCCAACUAAGUCAGACGUGAAAUCCCUCGGCUUAACCGGGGAACUGCGUCUGAUACUGGAUGGCUUGAGAUUGGGAGAGGGAUGCGGAAUUCCAGGUGUAGCGGUGAAAUGCGUAGAUAUCUGGAGGAACACCGAUGGCGAAGGCAAUCCCCUGGACCUGUACUGACGCUCAUGCACGAAAGCGUGGGGAGCAAACAGG
rnacentral:rRNA from 1 species